GUUCCUGUGGUCAAGUGGUAUGACGAAACGUUGUGGAGCGUGCUGUCUGAGAAAACUUCGGCGUAUAGCGCCGUUUCGGCCCGUGUUCGAUUCACGGCGGGGACA